AUCCAGCUGAUGGGUCUCAAAUGAGACGAAACGCGCGUCCUAAAU
rnacentral:hammerhead_ribozyme from 1 species